rnacentral:rRNA from 1 species
UACGUAGGUCCCGAGCGUUGUCCGGAUUUAUUGGGCGUAAAGCGAGCGCAGGUGGUUUAUUAAGUCUGGUGUAAAAGGCAGUGGCUCAACCAUUGUAUGCAUUGGAAACUGGUAGACUUGAGUGCAGGAGAGGAGAGUGGAAUUCCAUGUGUAGCGGUGAAAUGCGUAGAUAUAUGGAGGAACACCGGUAGCGAAAGCGGCUCUCUGGCCUGUGACUGACACUGAGGCUCGAAAGCGUGGGGAGCAAACAGG